AGUUAACACCUGCAUAUUUGACGUUACCUACAGAAGAAGCACCGGCUAACUCCGUGCCAGCAGCCGCGGUAAUACGGAGGGUGCGAGCGUUAAUCGGAAUUACUGGGCGUAAAGCGCAUGCAGGCGGCCUGUUAAGUCAGAUGUGAAAGCCCGGGGCGUUAACCUCCGGAAUUGCAUUUGUAAACUGGCAGGCUAGAGUCUUGUAGAGGGGGGUAGGAAGUUUACUAGGUGUAGCGGUGAAAUAGCGUAGAGAUCUGAAGGAAUACCAGUGGCGAAGGCGGCCCCCUCGGACAAAGACUGACGCUCAGAUGCGAAAGCGUGGGGAGCAAACAGGAUUAGAUACCCUGGUAG
rnacentral:rRNA from 1 species